UUUAACAAAUACACGUACUGUCAGACCCAACACCAGAAAAAGAAAAGAAAAAGCCUUUCGUUGCUCCUUCAAAACCCUAGAAAAUCCUCCUAUCGCCGUCAAAUCUCCCCGCUUAGAUCGGGCCUUUGUUGGUCGGAUCUAAGCAUGAUUCUUCUCGUUUCAUUGCAGCCAGCUUCAAUCUAAAACCAAAAAGCCAAGAUCCCCUCUUUUCCAUAUAAACCUUAACAACAGAUUCAUGCUGUUGAUCAAAAUUGUCUGCUAAUCUUAGGUUUGCCGGCCUGAAUGUUCACAAUUAAUGCUUGCUACAACUUGAUUUCUCCUUAUUGUUCUAGAUUCCAUGGGUUCUCCUUUGAAAUUGUUGUUGCGAAAGAUGUUCAAGGUUUUUUUUUCAGUUGAUGUCCCGGAGACGGCGGUUGAUUUCUUCGAUUACUUCUCAACCUCUUCUGAUUCCUUAUCGCAAUUGGAUCGGCUGCUCGGAUUUGGUCAAUAACCUUUUAUUUGGAAUCACAAAGAGGUUUUAUUCCAACUUGUUAUUAUCUGACCUUGUUUCUCUUUCUUUUUUUUUUUUGAAAGAUGACCUUGUUUCUCACUCUUUGAUUUAGAUGUUAGUUUCAUUUCAUCUUUUUUCCCUUUAAUUUUCCACAUAUGGUCUCUGUUUAAAGUCUGAUUGUUGUUUGUUCUAAGAUAACUAUCAAUUGUGUCUUUGAAGGCGUUUGUUUUAGCCUGCAUUUUCAUCCGUUUGUCGGCAUGCCAUUCUUCACCUUUGGCGGUACUUUUAAAAAAUUUAAUUAAAAAAAAAAAGGAAAAAGUUUUAAAAAGAAAACUGAAAAACCCUUGUCGGUGUUGUGAUGAAAUAAAUAUAGGUCAUCUAUGAGGAUUUUAGUAGUUCUUAAUCAGGCUUUAAUUAUUCUUUGAUCUAGCCAGAGUUUUUUCUCACUGUGAAUCAAUAGUAGUUUUAGGUGUUUUCUCGUGGUAAAGUUUUGGGAAACAAGGUCAGAUAUUUUGUUUGGGAAGUUUGCCUCAUUUGAUUCUCCAUGCCAGUCUAUAUUUGGAUUAUUGCAAUAAGAUUAUCUAUAUCCUGAAACUCUUUUGACGUUGGAAGGGGAGAUUUCAAAUGCUUUAGGUUUAAACAUCUUGGUCUUCUGCUCUAUUUCCUGGGGUUAGAUUUAGACUCGGUCAUCCACAAAAGCUAUGGGUAUCAUAAUGAAGAUUUAUCUCCAGAUUUCUAAAUUCCAGCAACUACCUCUCAAGAUUCUUCGCAGCAGCAGCAUCAACAAUUUUCGUACAUGGAACAAAUCCUCUCAUCUCAAGUGUUAGUAGCAAUGCUCAAUUGUUGUCAUUUGAGCCGGUAGAUAGUCAAAUUAUCUAUUUCUAGAGCUUCUUCUCUUAGCGCAUUCCUAAUUUCCUUUGUAUUUGUAUUCUCUUGCGUUAGUUGGUCAUAUAGUUUCUUUCUAGUUACUUUUCAAGUGAAUUUAUAUUCCUGUUUACCGUAGUUUAAUCUAGUUGAGUCUGUAGUAUUUCAGUUAUUAGUAACACUUAUAAUAGCUCUAUUAGCUCUAAUCCUUCAAGGGAGGAGAUUGGGUUCUACUUCAAGACAAAAUCCUGGUUAAAGACUUGAGCUGAAGUUAUGGAUCAAGUCGCACAACAAAGGAUUAUAGAGAUAUCACCCGGGCCGUUCACCACAACAUCAAGAUAUAAAGACCUAACUAGCAACUUCAAUCAAUUGCAUCGAACACUUCCAUCACCAAAUAAGUUUUCGUGGAUACUGUCGUGUCUAACAAAUAUACAACUUUUCUUGUGGAAAGCAUUGAUCGAAGGACUUUGGACCUUCGACACCGACAUCCUCCCCCGAUGCAUCUACGAUCCGAAGACUGCUAUUCAGAUCCACUAUCAUAUUGUUGUAGAUUCAUGGUUAAAGUAUUCCGAAAAUAAAGAAGAAAUUAAGAGGGCGUAUCAUUCUAAUUGUAAUCGAUGAAUCUUGGAAUAUUUUAUACGCUGGUGUAAUAGUCCGUUAGUAAUUUAAUAAAAUUCAUGCGUCAAAAAAAAAAAAAUAUACGUACAGUGGUAUAAGUCCGAGUAUUAGUUGACCUGUUGAGUGUUGACUGAACCAAAACACACUGUCCUUUUAUUUUGAACUUUGCCAUGCGAGAUCCAUCCAUUAAACCCUUGACUGUAGUUCAUUUCAGGAGGCGGAUAGAAAUUCUUCGUUUUCUCCUAAUCAUCAUUCUGCUACUGCGAAAAAACACAGGAUGAAAUCGAUAAGGUUAGGGAGGAUGGAUGCGUCAACACCGACAUCAACUACGAUGAUUCUAGGUUCACUUCUUCUGAUUCAGAUGUUCCUUGCAGAUGCAGCUUCUUCAAUUGGGGAUUCUGAUGGGGUUAGUUUCAACUACGAAGAAGAUUUAAUGGAGAUUAAUGAUUCUAUGAUUUCUGAUCACAACAAGCAUCAGAAUCUAAUUCCGAUCGUAUCUCGUCCAGCGCUCAAAAUUUUGAAUCGAGUUUCAGUCCUUAAUGAGGACUCAAUUGAAGACCCAAAGUUUUCGAUCAGCUGAAAUUGCUCAAAAUAUGGUGGAUGAAGUUUCUUCUACAACUGAAUACAAAGAAAAUGAAAUCGAGAUGCAGUCUCCGUCUAUCAAAUCAAAUCAAAUCUGUGAGGCGGAAUUAUCAAGGUUGUUCGCUGCAGUCAGGGAUGACUCGGUGGAUCGUUAAACUAACCCGGAUGACUCAGUCCAGCUCAUAGGAGGAACGAUGAGUGGGUUCAGCUUGCACAACUAAAAAUGGAGUCUUUAAUGCCAAAUGUUGAAGAUGUUACACCUGAAGAGCUAUCUCGAGUAAGAACAGUGGCCUUCAUACAGCUGCGUAGAAAUGAGAUUAAGACAUGGUAUCCCUCACUAGUCAUGUCUGAAUUCAAAGAUUGUAUAAAGCUCCAUGUUUGUGAGUGUUGCCUUGCGUUUACGAACUCUAAAACUCAGCUCAAAAGGCAUAAGAAAGAAUGUCAAGGUAGAGACCCCCCUGGCCACAAGAUUUAUAUAGAUGGAAAGUUAUCAGUUUUUCAG